AUUGAACGCUGGCGGCAGGCCUAACACAUGCAAGUCGAACGGUAACAGGAAGAAGCUUGCUUCUUUGCUGACGAGUGGCGGACGGGUGAGUAAUGUCUGGGAAACUGCCUGAUGGAGGGGGAUAACUACUGGAAACGGUAGCUAAUACCGUAUAACGUCGCAAGACCAAAGAGGGGGACCUUCGGGCCUCUUGCCAUCGGAUGUGCCCAGAUGGGAUUAGCUAGUAGGUGGGGUAACGGCUCACCUAGGCGACGAUCCCUAGCUGGUCUGAGAGGAUGACCAGCCACACUGGAACUGAGACACGGUCCAGACUCCUACGGGAGGCAGCAGUGGGGAAUAUUGCACAAUGGGCGCAAGCCUGAUGCAGCCAUGCCGCGUGUAUGAAGAAGGCCUUCGGGUUGUAAAGUACUUUCAGCGGGGAGGAAGGGAGUAAAGUUAAUACCUUUGCUCAUUGACGUUACCCGCAGAAGAAGCACCGGCUAACUCCGUG
rnacentral:rRNA from 1 species